AAAUAUUAUUUUCUCCAUUUAAUAUCACUAGUUAAAAAAAUAAAUAAGCAUAAUUUAUUAUAUAUUUCAAGAGCUUAAAAAAUAUUUAAGUUUAUUGCACAUUUUUUCGGAAACAUUCAAUAUUUCGAUUCCGUUUUGGUGUAUUACAAAUAUUUUUCUAAUAUUAUAUUGCUUAAUAAUUAUUUUCUCAAAUUUUGAUAUUUUUCUCUUCAACAUUUUAAAUUCUCAUAAUAUAUUACUUACGUACAUAUUCUUUACAUGUAAACUGUAUUAAUUAUUCUAUAUUAUUUCUUGUGUAUUAAUCAUAAUACAAUCCCCUCUUUUCAUCAUAAAAACAAAUUCUUUGCAAAAAUACAAAUAUAUAUACUUGCAUUUUGAUUUUUAUAAAGAGUUUGAAAGGAAGAAGAAAUAACGAAUUCCGAACACGGAAAUCAAUUUGUCCGGUUCAAUUAUGCGAAACGCAGUAGUUGGAUGAUCUGAUUAAGGGAGGUCGAGCAGUAAAUUUCUAAUACUAAGAAGAGGUCAAUUCGUGACUAUCUUCUCAACUCAGAUUGUAAUAUCAAGACAAGUACGAAGUCGACUUAUCUACAUUUAAAUAACUAAGAAGAAGCCAUACAUAUCUAUAAUGGAAUAUAAUUCGCCACCAUGACUGUAUACUUGCAACCACCGAAGACAACUUUUGCAGGGCGUUUUAUUCAUCAAUUACAACCCUGCAUCCUAAGCCGAUGUUAGGGGUUCUUGGCCUGUAGAUGAACGUAAAGCGCAGUAGGUUACUGACACGAGGAGUUGUUAACAUCAGUAUUGCUCAUACAAGUGUUAGUUUCUUAAAUGCGAUAGACAUGUAUAAAUUGAAGUCACAACAUGAGAAGAGUUUGCCAAAUCUUUCUUCAAAGGAUAUGAGAAUUAUGAAAAUGUAUCACUACCUUAUCGACGAAAUUUCGGAUCCUAGAAUUUCUGACUGGCCCUUAAUGUCAAAUCCGUUUGGUAUAGUAUUGAUUUCACUCGCUUAUUUAUCUUUUGUGCUUUAUUUCGGACCGCUUUAUAUGAAAAACAGAAAAUCUCACGAGCUCAUUAAAACUAUGAUAUGUUAUAAUAUUUUUGUCGCAACUACAAACGCUAUUAUAUUCUAUGGUAUACUCACGUCUGGUUAUACAACACAUCUUUCUGCAGGAUGUGAGCCCUUUGUGAUUUCAGAUGAUUCUAUGUCGCUUAGCAUGGCUCGAUGGGUAUGGUGGAUUUUAAUUCUGAAAAUUAUCGAGCUCACAGAUACUGUCAUUUUUAUUCUCAGAAAAAAAUAUAACCAAAUUUCAUUUCUUCAUGUAUAUCAUCACACAGCGACUCUCUUUUUAGCGUGGAUUUCUUGUAAAUAUGCACCUGGUGGCAUGUGGACCUUUAUAAUGAUGCCUAAUUGCGCAAUACACGUAAUUAUGUACACAUAUUAUCUUUGUGCUUGUUUGGGACCAAAAAUGCAGAAGACAAUAACUCCUUGGAAAAAAUAUAUAACUCGUUUGCAACUGAUAAUAAGGAUUUGACAGUUUUAAGAAGCCUAGCGUGCCUAUGUCAAAUUCAUGCAGGCAUAUGGAAUAGCGCAUUUCGCGUGAUAUGUUCAUAUACGCAGACUUCAUUGUGGUUACAGCGCUCCUAUAACUCGAUAACUGGCUUUUCACGAGGGAUUGAAAAAUACAAUUUGCUAUUAUGAUGGUCCAUACAUUCCAAGCGCUUCUACCGUCUUGCGAACCAACGCGGAAACCAUUAGCAUACAUUUACAUGUCUCAAAUUGUUCUCAUGUUCUAUAUGUUCUUAGACUAUUAUAG
rnacentral:misc_RNA from 1 species